GGAGUUUGGUCCGUGUCUCAGUACCAAUGUGGGGGACCUUCCUCUCAGAACCCCUACUGAUCGUCGACUUGGUGAGCCGUUACCUCACCAACUAUCUAAUCGGACGCGAGGCCAUCUCUCAGCGGAUUGCUCCUUUGACCCCAUCCGGAUGCCCGGUCGUGGUCUUAUGCGGUAUUAGCACCUAUUUCUAAGUGUUAUCCCCCCUCUGAGAGGUAGGUUCCUCACGUGUUACUCACCCGUUCGCCACUAACUUUAUUUCUUCGUCCGCCGAAGCCUCAGUUUCCAUAAAGUCCGUUCGACUUGCAUGUGUUAGGCGCGCCGCCAGCGUUCAUC
rnacentral:rRNA from 1 species